GUCGAGCGGAUGAGAGGAGCUUGCUCCUUGAUUUAGCGGCGGACGGGUGAGUAAUGCCUAGGAAUCUGCCCGGUAGUGGGGGAUAACGUUCCGAAAGGAACGCUAAUACCGCAUACGUCCUACGGGAGAAAGCAGGGGACCUUCGGGCCUUGCGCUAUCGGAUGAGCCUAGGUCGGAUUAGCUAGUUGGUGAGGUAAAGGCUCACCAAGGCGACGAUCCGUAACUGGUCUGAGAGGAUGAUCAGUCACACUGGAACUGAGACACGGUCCAGACUCCUACGGGAGGCAGCAGUGGGGAAUAUUGGACAAUGGGCGAAAGCCUGAUCCAGCCAUGCCGCGUGUGUGAAGAAGGUCUUCGGAUUGUAAAGCACUUUAAGUUGGGAGGAAGGGCAGUAAGUUAAUACCUUGCUGUUUUGACGUUACCGACAGAAUAAGCACCGGCUAACUUCGUGCCAGCAGCCGCGGUAAUACGAAGGGUGCAAGCGUUAAUCGGAAUUACUGGGCGUAAAGCGCGCGUAGGUGGUUCGUUAAGUUGGAUGUGAAAGCCCCGGGCUCAACCUGGGAACUGCAUCCAAAACUGGCGAGCUAGAGUACGGUAGAGGGUGGUGGAAUUUCCUGUGUAGCGGUGAAAUGCGUAGAUAUAGGAAGGAACACCAGUGGCGAAGGCGACCACCUGGACUGAUACUGACACUGAGGUGCGAAAGCGUGGGGAGCAAACAGGAUUA
rnacentral:rRNA from 1 species